rnacentral:rRNA from 1 species
GACGAACGCUGGCGGCGUGCCUAAUACAUGCAAGUAGAACGCAGAAGCUUGGUGCUUGCACCGAGCGGAUGAGUUGCGAACGGGUGAGUAACGCGUAGGUAACCUGCCUGGUAGCGGGGGAUAACUAUUGGAAACGAUAGCUAAUACCGCAUAAGAGUAGAUGUUGCAUGACAUUUGCUUAAAAGGUGCAAUUGCAUCACUACCAGAUGGACCUGCGUUGUAUUAGCUAGUUGGUGAGGUAACGGCUCACCAAGGCAACGAUACAUAGCCGACCUGAGAGGGUGAUCGGCCACACUGGGACUGAGACACGGCCCAGACUCCUACGGGAGGCAGCAGUAGGGAAUCUUCGGCAAUGGACGGAAGUCUGACCGAGCAACGCCGCGUGAGUGAAGAAGGUUUUCGGAUCGUAAAGCUCUGUUGUAAGAGAAGAACGAGUGUGAGAGUGGAAAGUUCACACUGUGACGGUAUCUUACCAGAAAGGGACGGCUAACUACGUG